ACUGGCAGUUUAUGGAACAGGAUCAGCUUAUGAGUCUGCUCCAUACAACCCUUCAGACGGCUCAGACCUGCAGUUACAUCAAGAUACACAAAGGGUUAAUAUUGUUUUUAGAAGACUUUUACAUGAUGAUACAUACAAUCCUGAGUAUACAAGCCUAGGGUAUGAUUAUGUCUGAUUAUUUUUCCUUUAUGGCUCACAUUUUAAUCUAUUAUAUUAGGUAUCGAUUCACAUAAAGAAGGAGGAUCCAAAUUCCUUAUCCUUUUUGCAACAAUUGGACCAAUCUGCUUCCUGCUGGUGCUUGCAUUGCUGGUGUUUGCUUGCUGGAGAAAAAGACAGAAGAAGCCGACAAACAGUGAGACUGAUGACACAUAUACUGAUCUGAAGUUGUCAGGUAUUACAAGUACAUAUGAUCAGCUGAAGCCCGAGAUCCCUGCAGACGCCAAUGUUCUAGGACCUGAUGUAGGUGCAGCUCAUGAAUAUGCAAACCUCAGACCGAAUACAUUUUCAAAAUAAGAAGAAAAUCUGUGAUAACGUUGAAAUGGUCUUUUUACACUUUUGUAGAGUUCAUAAAAUAUAUCUGCACUUGUUCUUGGCAUCAUUGAAUUAUCUCUGCUGGA